rnacentral:rRNA from 1 species
CACUCCUGCGGGAGGCAGCAGUGGGGAAUUUUGGACCAUGGGCGAAAGCCUGAUCCAGCAAUGCCGCGUGUGUGAAGAAGGCCUUCGGGUUGUAAAGCACUUUUGUCCGGAAAGAAAUCCUUGGCUCUAAUACAGUCGGGGGAUGACGGUACCGGAAGAAUAAGCACCGGCUAACUACGUGCCAGCAGCCGCGGUAAUACGUAGGGUGCGAGCGUUAAUCGGAAUUACUGGGCGUAAAGCGUGCGCAGGCGGUUUGCUAAGACCGAUGUGAAAUCCCCGGGCUCAACCUGGGAACUGCAUUGGUGACUGGCAGUCUAGAGUAUGGCAGAGGGGGGUAGAAUUCCACGUGUAGCAGUGAAAUGCGUAGAGAUGUGGAGGAAUACCGAUGGCGAAGGCAGCCCCCUGGGCCAAUACUGACGCUCAUGCACGAAAGCGUGGGGAGCAAACAGGAUUAGAAACCCCUGUAGUCCC